rnacentral:rRNA from 1 species
GAUUUACUUAAUAAUUAAGUUGUUAACGUGGUAAAGUUAUAAUUUUAUUAUUAAGUGGUAAUGAAAUGUUUUUCGAUUUUUAUGAUAGCUAGUUUAUAGGUAUAGAAUAUUUUAGUAUUAUAAUGUUAAUAUUAUUAGUAGUAGUUUAAUAUUAUUUAAUUUAUAAGGGAUAAGCUUUAUAUAAAAAUAUAGAAUUGUAUAAAUUUUUUUAUUAUUUUAAGUAGAAUUAAGAUUGUUUUUCUUAAUAAUAAUAUAUAAUUUGUUAUUGUUUGUUUAUUCAGGUUAAGUACUUAUAAAUAUUUAUUAAUUAUUAAUAAAUAAAUAUAAUGUUAAUAUGAGUAUUUAAUAUAUUAAUUAGUUAUAGUUGUAAUAAAUUUGUAUAAUUAUAUAAUAAUAUUAAUAAUUAAAUAAAAUAAAGGAAUUCGGCAAAUAUAAAUCUCGCCUGUUUAUCAAAAACAUCUCUCUUUGUAAUUAAUAAAUAAAGAG